rnacentral:rRNA from 1 species
GAUGAACGCUGGCGGCGUGCCUAAUACAUGCAAGUCGAGCGAACGGACGAGAAGCUUGCUUCUCUGAUGUUAGCGGCGGACGGGUGAGUAACACGUGGAUAACCUACCUAUAAGACUGGGAUAACUUCGGGAAACCGGAGCUAAUACCGGAUAAUAUUUUGAACCGCAUGGUUCAAAAGUGAAAGACGGUCUUGCUGUCACUUAUAGAUGGAUCCGCGCUGCAUUAGCUAGUUGGUAAGGUAACGGCUUACCAAGGCAACGAUGCAUAGCCGACCUGAGAGAGUGAUCGGCCACACUGGAACUGAGACACGGUCCAGACUCCUACGGGAGGGAGCAGUAGGGAAUCUUCCGCAAUGGGCGAAAGCCUGACGGAGCAACGCCGCGUGAGUGAUGAAGGUCUUCGGAUCGUAAAACUCUGUUAUUAGGUAAGAACAUAUGUGUAAGUAACUGUGCACAUCUUGACGGUACCUAAUCAGAAAGCCACGGCUAACUACGUG